UUACACUCAAAAAUAGUUCUAAAAAAGUUUUGGGAAAAACACCCAAUUUUAUCAGAUACUAGGAAUUGUCGUACCUAGGCACUAUGCAAAAAAAAUAAAAUUAUUCUCAUCGAUUUUGAGGAGCUCUUCUGUUAGCCCUUAUGGGUAACUCUGAUUAUGUUGCAAAAUUUUGAUGAUAACCAAAUUCUACUUACUGCUCAAGUAUUUAUUUCAAAGUAUUAUAGUUGCAAGAAAUAUUUCAAGCACACAUUCCGAGGACCAAAAAUAAUCAAAGAUAUUUGGACUGCAAGUAAGAAACCUUCAAGCACUAAAGAUUUCAAGAAUGAAGAAAUUUUAUUGCGGGUAUUUUUGUAAAACUCUUGUAUUGGUUCAAAUUCUGAGCUCUAAAAUGACCUUAAUAUCCUUCAUACAUUUUAGAAAAACAAAAGUGCAUAAAACUUAAAAUGCUUGGAAAUAUGCUAGCAAUAAUUCUUCUCUUGAAAAUUUAAUUAUAAUUUGAAAAGGCUAGCAAUAAUUUCUGACUUUGAAAAUUGAUCCAAGUUUGAAAAAUUGGUUAGCAACAAUUUCGACUUUGAAUUUGAUUCCAAGUUGAAAAAUUGAUUAGUAACAUUUCGACUUUGAAAAUUGUGGGUUGCCAACUUUAAAAAUUGGUUGCAACAAUUUCUGACUUUUGUGAUUAAUGUGAUUUCAGACAAUUUGAAAAUUGCGCUAGCAAAUUUUAAAUUUCCUCCAACGGUUUUAUAUUCUUUCUCAGGGCCUAUAAAGACAUAUCCUUAACUCUCAUUUUAUUAGGCAAUCAAGUAAGAAACAACAGCUUAUAAAUCAAAGCAUUUUCCUUUUCUUAAUUUCAAUUUUCUUGAGGCCUUCAAUUCAGUUGAUUUAAUCAUACAAGAGUUCUAGUAGAGAUAUCAUUGUAAAAAGUUUCAUUUGUUAUUCUUUCUCAAAAAGUAGAAGGGUUAUGUGAGAGAAAGAAAUCUCAAAUCUAUCAACAGUUUAUGUAUCCACGAGGGUUGGUGUUGGGACCGUUGAGGAUGGUGUAACCCUUGUGAGGUGUGGAAGGAGAUUUACACCUUGUAAAGAAGAGUGGUAGCUCUUGGCGUGUUGUAAAGGUUUGAACUCCACCUGCAAAGGAGUUUGAAUUAGUGGAUUGAAAAAUCUCAAGGGUGUGCUUGAGGAGACGUGGACGAGUCAGGUAACGAACACUAUAAACGCCGAGUUGAAUCUCUUCCCGAUCUUUUAUAUUGUGUCAUUAUAUUUAUUUGCAUUAGACUGCCUUCUUAAAUUAUUCAAAAAACUCUUAAUUCAGUAUAUUUUUUAUUAAAGAAAGCUUUGCCAAACAACCCUAUUCACCCCCCUCUAGGGUGAUUAUAUGCGGCAACAAUUGGUAUUAGAACUUAACCUUUAAUAUUUGACUUAACAUCAAAGAGGUACGACAUGGGCAAACCCACAAAUGGAAUGAUCUUCGCCGAAGGACACUCCUCAAAUAGGCCUCAUUUAUUUAAUGAGAAUCAUUAUUACUGUUUGAAGAAUAGGAUGAGAAUAUACAUUCAAGCCUUAGUUAUGAGGCUUGAAAAUUAUAGGGAUCGGUCCCUGAUAUUCCACAAAAAUAGUUGAUAAGACAAAAGUCAUUAAACUGAGAAGAAUGGGAUAAAAGAUUGAUUCACGCUUAAUCAACUUAAGCUAAAGCUAUAAAUAUGUUAUUAUUGUGCUUUAGAUGGCAAAUGAGUUUAACCGAAUCUGUGCCUGCGAAUCCGCAAAGGAAAUAUGGGAUAAACUUGAAGUAAUUUAUGAAGGUUAAAAAAUCAAGUAAAAGGAAUCUAAAUCAGUAGGGUCUAGUCAUGCGUAUGAAGUAUUUUGGUUUAAAUCUGAAGAAUCUAUUUCUGAAUGUUUACAAGAUUUACUAAUAUUAUAAAUUCAUAAAAAUUCUAUUGGCAAAUGUUAUAAAAUGUGAAAAAAGUGAUGAAAAAAGUCGUAAGGUCCCCUGCCAAAACAUGGGGAUGCAAAGUCACAGCUAUUGCAGAUGCUACAGAUUCUCACAACAAUGGUCUGAUAAACUUUUGGGUUCCUCAUGACUAUGAGAUUCAUGUUGAAGCGGACGAGAAGAAGAAGAAGCAAAGCCCAAAAGAAGGUCUCGCACUCAAAUCCUCUCAUCAGAAAGGUAAGGAAAAAGAAGAAAGAGCGUGACAACGAUAAAAGGAAAUGACACUUUUCAUAAAACGAUUCAAAGGUUAUAAGAAAGGAGAAAACAUCAAUAAGAAGCAUAAUAGAAGAGACUCCUUAACGGCGAAACCAAGAAAAAGGAUCCUCCAACUUGCCUUCGAGUGCAUAAGCCUGGACACUAUAAAUUAGAUUGCCCUGCCUUAAGAGGAAGGAAGAAAGAAUUCAAAAAAAAGCCUUGAAGGGGACUUGGGAGGAUUUAGAAGGAGCGAAUCAGAACAAGAGGAGGGAGAGCGGAAAAUGAGAUGGCUAUUUUGCCUCAUGGCCAAACGGAGAUGAGGUAAAUCUUUUUAAAUACUGCUGAUUGAAUUACCUUCUUAUGAAGAAUUUCAAGAUGCUAUGAUUGAUGAUGUGAACAUUACUAUAAAACUACUUGAACAACUAAAUAAAAUCUUAAAAGAAAGGAAACGAAUUUUUGAAUGAGAUGUAUUGAAAAAUAAAAUAAAAAUUUACUCAAAAUAAACCAUUAAUCUCACCUCCAAGAUCAAGUCGUCAAUAAUGCUAGAAGAAGAAAAUAUUUAGACUAAAAGAAAACCAUUAAAGACUUAAACAAACUUGCAAAAUUUGUAGAUGGCAAAUAUAAAACUUAGAUAUGCUAUUGGAGACAAAGAUGUGUCUUUUAACAAGGAAGGUUUGGGAUUAUUGCUCCUAAGAAUAAACAAAAAUUUAUAAAAAUUCUUUGAUAAAGAAUCUUACUUCAAUUCUUCAUCACUACUUAUAAGUUAUAUGGAAAGAAAAGAAAUGGACAUAUUGUAGAUGUUUAUUCAUGAAAUAAAGAUAUUCACAAGAUAAAUAUAAGGGAUCAAAUUCUAAAAAUAUUAACCUUGGAAACACUCAUAAAGCUUGGUACCAAAUAACUAAUGUAAUUAAAGCUGACCUUCACGGAUCCAAAAAAAAAUUGGGUACCAAAAAGAGUUAUGUGAUAUAUUUUGUAGGUAUGCCUUAAGUCAUAUGAGAGCUGGAUUAAGUGGUUUAUGGACAGCGGCUUGCUCAAAGAAAUAUGACGGGGAGACAAAUCCAAGCUUUAUCUUUCACACCAAGGAUGGAGGAUUUCUUGUCACAUUUUGUGAAUCAAGAGGUAAAAUUAUUGGAGUUUGAAAUAUUAACAAUUACUCUUCAUCUGCAUGAAAAGUUCUUACUUGUGCUGGCCUUAAGCUAAUCUAAUAAGUAGAAGCCAAUUAUGUGAUAAAACUAUAAGGGUAAUGAUUAAAAAUCAAUGCCAUAAUUAUUGCAUUGCUCUUAUAAUUAAAUAUUAUUAUCGCAGCUAGAUAUGAAAAUAUAUACACAUUUGAUUUGAUCGUCUAGUUACGUUAGUCAGAUGUUAAAGACUUGCAGCCUAUAAAUGAAAACAGUUGGUUAUGGAUCGAAGAUUAGGACAUGCUAGCAUCGGAUUUAACCUCAAAUCAAAACAGCCUGAUUUAGUUAAAGGUUACCUAAAUCAGUUGUUAAAGAUAAAAUUGUGAUGCAUGUCAAUUAGGGAAGUAACAUUAAAAAAUGUUUUCCAAAGAAGAAAUAUAUUUCCACACUAGGUCCUUAACGGUUGCAAUAGAUUUGUUCGGUCCAAUAAAGUUGCUAGUCUUGGUGAAAAAUUAUAUGCAUUUGUAAUUGUUGCUGAUUUUCACGUUUUUUUUUUUACAUGGGUAUUAUGUCUUACUCACAAAAAUGAAGCACACAUUGCAUUUGCAAAAUUCGUAAGAAGGCAAAAAUGAAUAGGUUGCACUAUCACCAAUAUCGUAGUGAGAUUAGAGGUAGAGAAUUGAUAUCAAAGAUAUUGACAAAGUAUUGUUUUUUUUGUUUUUUUUUUUUUUUUUGAUGAUCAUUGGAUUUACACACAACUCUCUGCACCUUAGAAGACCUCAACACAAUGGAGUUGUGAACGUAAAAAAAAAACAUAGAUCUCUUCAAGAAAUGGCUGAAUCAUGUUAAAGAACAUAAGUUACCUAAAUAUUUUUGGGCUGAAGUGGUAAAAUACAGGCUUGUUACAAUUAUAAAUUGUAGUAGUUCUUAGAUCAAAACUUGAAAAGACUCCUUACGAGCUUUUGGAAAGUAAGAACACUCAAUGAUGGUUAUUUCAAAGUAUUGGUUGUAAAUAGUUAGUCUAAUGACAAAGACAAUUUAGGUACAGUUGAUGCCAAAUCUGAUAAAGGCAUAUUCUUGGAUAUUCUAUUAAUAGCAAAGCUUAUAGGUUAUAACAAAAGAACUUUAACCUAUUGAAGAGUAUAUACAUGUUGCAUUUGAUUGAAAUUGUUCUUUCAAGCCUAAGAAUAUUGAUGAGGAUGACGAUAUUAGUGCUAUAGAAAAAAUAUUAAAAUAUCAGAUAAAAUAUCAAACCUCUCAGACUCUAACAACCGAAGAAAACAUGAAAAAUGCAUUCUUCAUAUUGAACAAGAUCAACAGUUUCUUAAAAUCUUGAAACAUUGUUAAAGAUCACCCCCAUUGAUCAAAUUAUAGGUGACCCCUAACAAGGUGUAUCACACGGUCUUCACUUAGAAAUGUGUGUAAUAACAUGGCUUUUGUGUCAGAAAUUGAACCAAAAAUAUUAAAAAACUAAAAUUGAUGAGUUUUGGUUAAUGGGCCAUGGAAGAAGAACGAACCAAUUUGAAAGGAACAAUGUUUGCGACAUGUUCCUACCCCACAAAUCAAUUUAAUUAUUGGAACAAAAUGGAUUUUUUCGUAAACAAAAAUGAUUAAAAAUAGAUAUCAUAGAAAAUAAGUUAGAUUAGUAGUCCAAGACUUUCAAACCAAGAAGAAGUUAUUGACUAUGAAGAAACAUUUGCCCCCGUAGCUCGACUUGAAGUUAUAAGAAAUUGUUGUAUUAGCUUUUGCUUCCUAUAAAGGAUUUUAAAUUAUUUUAAAUGGAUGUCAAAAGUGCAUUUUUAAAUGGUUCAUUUCUGAAGAAGUUUAUGUGGAACAACCACAUGGUUUUGAAAAUCACGAAUUUCCAAAUAAUGUUUUUAAAAUUGAUCAAACCUUUAUGGCUGAGGAAACAAGACCCUAAGAGCAUGGUAUGAAGGACAAGUGGAUUUUUUUUGAAAAAAGGCUUACAAGAGGAAAAAUUGACACUACUUUGUUACCAAAAUAAAAAAUGAUGAUUUACUUAUUGUGAAAAUAUAUGUUGAUGAUAUUAUUUGAAUCAACAAAUGAGAACAUGUGUAGUGAAAUUUUUAAAAAUUAUGCAAAAAGAAUUUGGGGAAAUGAGCAUGCGGGUAAAAUAAAUUUAUCUUGGGUUUCAAAUGAAAACAAAAUAAAAUAGGAAUCUUAUCGACCAAUCUAAAUAUAUAAAAGAUCUCCAAGAAAUUGGGAUAAGAAAACUUCAAAAAUUUAUGCAACCCCAAUAUUCAAAAAACUAAACUUGAUAAAGAUGAAAGUAGAAAAAAAUGUGUUAUGAAGCAACUAUAGAGAAUGAGUUGGAGUAAAUUUACUAUAUAAGGGCUAGUAGGCCAGAUAUCAAUUUAGGGUUUGCCUUAUGUGCUAGAUUUUUGUUUUUUUUUCCCAAUCAUGUCCAAAAGAAUAAAACAUUUAAUGUUGUUAAAAGAUUUUUCGAUAUUUACUUGGCACAAUAGAUCAGGUUUAUGGUAUCAUAAAUUCACUUCAUUGGAUUUUAUAAGUUAUUCAGAUGCAGAUUUUGCAGGAUGCAAAAUUGAUGUAAAAAGUACAAGUGGUACUGUCCUUUAGGACACUCCCACUUGUUUCUUGGUUAGUAAGACAACAAAAUUCGGGUGCUCUCUCCAUGCUGAAGCCGAAUAUAUUGACCGCAGGCAGUUGUUGUGCUCAAGUUCUUUAUAUGAAGCAAACAACUUGAAGAUUUUUACAUUAAAGUUUGAUCAUAUACCCCUUAGAUGCGAUAAUACUAGUGCAUAAAAUUCUAAAAACCAUAUUCUUCACCUCACGAAACAAAUAUAUAAAAUUAGACACCACUUUAUUUGUGAUCAUGUUCAAAAGGAGUGUAGAAAUAGAGGUUUAAGUACUGAUUUUUCAAGGACUGACAUUCUUCACGAAAACCACUUUCAGAGGAUCGUUGUCUGCACCAUUUGUCGAGCAACUUGGUAUGUGUAGAUCUACAGAUAUUGCAUAAUAGUUUAGUAUUUAUUUUUCUUAUAAAAUUUUUUUUUACUAUUUUGAAUAAAAACCUUAUUAUAAGCUUCUGGGCAAGAAAUCUUAAAAACUUUUUGGACUUCAAGAAGAGACUCUCAUGUUGCUCCGAAGACGGUUUGUGUUCAUCUAUAGUUCAUGAAUAUUUUUCCCAAGUCAUAACAUAUGAAGCAUACAAGUUUUUUUAGCUCUUAUUCUCCGCUGGAUACCUCUAUUCCUUCGUUAAAAAUCAAAACUUGAGACCUUAGUCUUGAACCUCAUCUCCGAACAUGAUAGACGUCGAGGCCCAUAUUUGAAACAGAAGAAGCACACUGAAUAUGAGUGUCAUGGAGUCAUUAAUGGCUUCGACAUCAGUCCUAUUCGCAAUAACUUUUCAUCUUGUGGGUAAUGAUCCCUUUAGCUACUGAUGCAACAACUGCAUCAUCCAGCAUCACAGAGCCAUAGUCAUGAGAGGAUCUUUUGGAUAAAGAUGAGGAUGCCAAAUUUUUGAUUGGACAUUAGGCAACACAUUCAGAUCAAAUUUAUUUUGAGAAGAAGAAAAAGUCAUUUUUGAAAACAAGGAAAGAAACUGGUAUCAGUAAAUGAAAUUGUUCUCAAAGAAUCGGAAGGAGAAAGAAAGAAGACAACUAUUUUGGGCAUUUCCUAGGGAAAUAGAUUUUUUUCGAACAAAAUAGGCCUAAAAGUCGUCUUUCUGAGCACAGCCGCACUACCACGGACAAAUCUUUGAAUUUCUGCCCACCCUAAACACGCGAUUUUUUUUUUAUUUUUUAUUUUUUAUGUUUUGGUCAAGAUCACAGCGUCAGCACAUGCGCACUCGCAACCUAUUCCUUGUCCAAAUCUCAUCUAUAUAUUCACUUGUCUUCUCUCUUGCCAAGCACAUAUUUCUAUUCUCAAUCCUUUAUACUCUGAAGCUAAAUAUUCUUCCUAAAUUUCAGCCUAUCAUCACUUCUUAAGAAGAAUGAUGUAGCAAUCGCAAUCUAAUUCAUACAGUCUAAAUUAAAAGUAAGAAAGAUGCAACAUCACAACUUGAUUCACAACCAUAGAAAGCAAGACUAUUCUUGAUUCUGUCAUCUAGAAGUCAAGAUUAUUCUUGAUCAUGCUUCUAAGAUUAAGUAUCUUUCUCGCUUUUUACAUCAUGAAUUCUUCCCCAUGAUAAUAACUAUGACAAAGAUAGAAUAACAACUGAUAUGG
rnacentral:lncRNA from 1 species